UGGUGUGAUGGUGAUCUAGCUGUGACAUGUCACCCCACUGUUCACAUGUAUGAUUCAGCACAUCUACUGCAUAGGGGGUGUGCCCAGUCUCCCUCACUGCCCCACAUAUAUCUCCUCCAGAGCUGCUUGUUCAUUUAAAUAGGACAGCCAUCUUCUGUACAAGAGAAUCAUUCUUCAGCUGAGAUAAUAGCUUCCCUUGUUGGAAAGUUCAAACAAGCUUUCUAAUGUGCAGUGUAUUGCAGAAGACACUUCCCUGGCUUUCCUAACAGAAUGUCACAUGUGGCGAUUGUU
rnacentral:snRNA from 1 species